rnacentral:rRNA from 1 species
AGGACGAACGCUGGCGGCGUGCCUAACACAUGCAAGUCGAACGGAGCCCGCAAGGGUUCAGUGGCGAACGGGUGCGUAACACGUGAGGAACUUGUCCAUCGGCGGGGGAUAGCCGGCCCAACGGCCGGGUAAUACCGCGUACGCCGUCCGGAGCGCAUGCUCUGGCCGGGAAAGCAGCAAUGCACCGAUGGAGAGCCUCGCGGCCUAUCAGCUAGUUGGUGGGGUAAUGGCCUACCAAGGCGACGACGGGUAGCUGGUCUGAGAGGAUGACCAGCCACAUUGGGACUGAGACACGGCCCAGACUCCUACGGGAGGCAGCAGUGGGGAAUAUUGCGCAAUGGGCGAAAGCCUGACGCAGCGACGCCGCGUGUGGGAUGACGGCCUUCGGGUUGUAAACCACUGUCGCGAGGGACGAAGAUCUGACGGUACCUCGAAAGGAAGCACCGGCUAACUCUGCGCCAGCAGCCGCGGUAA